GUUUUAUAAUAGAAAAUAGGAGCUCAACAUUGUAAUGUUAAUCCUAGGAUGAGGUUGUCCAAAAUUAAUUUCAAAUUCAAAUAUCAGCCCUUAAGUUACAAUUUAAGUACAUAAUUGCCAAGGGAGUCAACUGAAAAUGUAAUAGGGUCACAACAAAAAUAUUAGGGAAAUAUGAAGAACCUGCAAAGUGGAAUUAUUUCUUCUUCGAUGUCACGAACCCAAAGGGAAUAGUCCAUUUGUAUAGCAGUAACAGGAUGAACUGCAUGAGCCCUCCUUAUUGUGUCUGGACUAGCUUCAGACAACCCAAUAUAUUUUAUUUUACCUUCUUUGACUAACUUUUUAAGUUCUCCCAUCUGCAAUUUAUAUACAAUUUUAUCAACAAGAGCAAACAUGUUAGUAAAAUGGAAAGCAUGAUAAAAAAA
rnacentral:lncRNA from 1 species